AUUGGAUGUGUUGACACAUACUUGUAAUUCUCACUAAAGGGAGGCUGAGACUGAUGGAUUGCUUAAGUGUAGGAUUUCUGAACUGCAGUAGGAAUAAAGUCAAUCAAGUGUCUGCACUAAGUUUGGCACCAAUAUGAUGAUACCCCUCUCCUGUGGGAAGGACUACCAGAAUGUGUAAGAAGGGGUGAACUGGCCCAGGUUGGAAAUGCUGCCAAUCAAAGCUUUUUUGCUGAUCAGUAGUGAGAUUAGUAAGUGGCUGCUGCACUUCUGGCCUGGGCUGAGAUAGGGAGGCCCAGUCUCAA
rnacentral:SRP_RNA from 1 species